rnacentral:rRNA from 1 species
GAAAAGAAACCAACAGGGAUUGCCUCAGUAACGGCGAGUGAAGCGGCCAGCUAAAUUUGAAAUCUGGCCGCAAGGUCCGAGUUGUAAUUUGUAGAGGAUGCUUUUGGCGAGGUGACUUCCGAGUUCCCUGGAACGGGACGCCAUAGAGGGUGAGAGCCCCGUACGGUAGUGACACCGAGCCUCUGUAAAGCUCCUUCGACGAGUCGAGUAGUUUGGGAAUGCUGCUCUAAAUGGGAGGUGUAAGUCUUCUAAAGCUAAAUACCGGCCAGAGACCGAUAGCGCACAAGUAGAGUGAUCGAAAGAUGAAAAGCACUUUGAAAAGAGAGUUAAAAAGUACGUGAAAUUGUUGAAAGGGAAGCAUUUAUGACCAGACUUGGGCUUGGUUGAACAUCCGGCGUUCUCGCCGGUGCACUCUGCCAGCCUAGGCCAGCAUCAGUUCACGCCGGGGGACAAAGGUAGCGGGAAUGUGACUCCCUCCGGGGAGUGUUAUAGCCCGUUGCGCAAUGCCCUGGGGGGAGAACGCGCUUCGGCACGGAUGCUGGCGUAAUGGUCAUCAAUGACCC